rfam:Paenibacillus sp. FSL R7-0331, complete genome.
AUUAAAUAACAUAUGUCAUCUUGUAUAAGCCCAUUAAUCGGAGUGGGCGUCUCGACCAGGCAACCGUAAAUUGCCCCAGGCUACAAGAGGAUGCAUAGGCUGU